UCUUUACCAGCACCUCAUUCGAAACCUACCUUGGUUCUCACUGCUUCAACCCACCGAACUCCUUUCCUUUUGCCAUCCAUGAAGCCGUCGUCGAACCCCUGCCACCGUUGUCAAGCCCACUAGCUUCCGAGUUGACCAAUCGUGAGUUCAUUCGUCCAGCUUGUUGAGUUUACCAACCGCGGUUGUUCCUCCCGAAGUCGAGUUGUAGUCUUCAUUGCGCCAUCAAAGCUCUUCUUCCUCCUCCCUCAGUUGUCAUUCCUGCUUCUGCCAUCGAACAUAUUCCUCGCGCCAUUCAAAGUUUGCACCCGAAGUUCAGAUUUGUUUGCACACCCAGACCCAUUCGAUUAGUCUGCCUCUGUGCUGUUAAUGGAGUUGAUCUUAGGGUGACAGGACCUUCUUCAUUGUAGUAAGUGUGCACUGUGCAACAAUCCAUGGCUUGCUAAUUCCUAUUCAAAAAUGGAAUUAUGGAGAAAUAGAAGGGCAAUGACUAUUGUAUCUGCUGUUCUUGGAUGAAUUUUUCAUUAUGUUGAUGAAAUAUUGCCAUUCAGAUAGAAUGUGAAUGAAUACUUUAGCCAAGCAAAAAUGGUGUUAGAUGUACGUAUUUGUGAGCAUGAGAGUAUUGGAAUUGUUUUAAAAUUCUUAGAUUGUAAUCUACAUUAUAAUCAUGUGUGUUAUAGUAUUGAAUAUUAGUUAGUUGAACUUUUGUAUGUAAUGGAAUUGCUUUUAGACUUAAAUUAAUUAUAUAAUUAUUUUUUUGUAUAUUAA